rnacentral:rRNA from 1 species
AUACGUAGGGGGCUAGCGUUAUCCGGAUUUACUGGGCGUAAAGGGUGAGUAGGCGGUUGCAUAUGUCAGAUGUAAAAGGCACAGGCUUAACUUGUGUUAGCAUUUGAAACUGUGCGACUUGAGUGCAGGAGAGGUAAGUGGAAUUCCUAGUGUAGCGGUGAAAUGCGUAGAUAUUAGGAGGAACACCAGUGGCGAAGGCGACUUACUGGACUGUAACUGACGCUGAGUCACGAAAGC